AAAGUCGUAACAAGGUUUCCGUAGGUGAACCUGCGGAAGGAUCAUCACUGAUUCGCGCCCCGUUCCUCUCUCACCCGCUGUGCACCGUCUCCGGUACGCGCCCCGGCGCGUAUCUUUUUUAUAUUCUCAAGCGCCUGAGCCCGCGUCUGAUUUUACUUGUUUAAAAAACAUACGCACACAACUUUUAACAACGGAUCUCUUGGUUCUC
rnacentral:misc_RNA from 1 species